rnacentral:misc_RNA from 1 species
AACGCACGAGACCUGCGGACCUGCGGAAGGAUCAUUACCAAGCCUGUGAAGAUCACCUUCCAAAAGGAUGUGCGAUCUCUCACCCCGGCCACCCUUGUUUACCUUAUACCUGUUGCUUUGGUGGGCCCGCUGUAUGGCCGCUGGGAAACACUAAAAAGUUUCCGGGUGGGUGCUCACCAGAGUCCCAUUGAACUCUUUCUGGAAGUUAUGCUGUCUGAGCAUGAAAAAAACAAAUGUUAG